CCUACGGGAGGCAGCAGUGAGGAAUAUUGGUCAAUGGACGAGAGUCUGAACCAGCCAAGUAGCGUGAAGGAUGACUGCCCUAUGGGUUGUAAACUUCUUUUAUAUGGGAAUAAAACGUUCCACGUGUGGGAUUUUGUAUGUACCAUAUGAAUAAGGAUCGGCUAACUCCGUGCCAGCAGCCGCGGUAAUACGGAGGAUCCGAGCGUUAUCCGGAUUUAUUGGGUUUAAAGGGAGCGUAGGUGGAUUGUUAAGUCAGUUGUGAAAGUGUGCGGCUCAACCGUAGAAUUGCAGUUGAUACUGGCAGUCUUGAGUACAGUAGAGGUAGGCGGAAUUCGUGGUGUAGCGGUGAAAUGCUUAGAUAUCACGAAGAACUCCGAUUGCGAAGGCAGUUCACUAGACUGCAACUGACACUGAGGCUCGAAAGUGUGGGUAUCAAACAGGAUUAGAUACCCGGGUAGUC
rnacentral:rRNA from 1 species